rnacentral:misc_RNA from 1 species
GAUGAAGAACGUAGCGAAAUGCGAUAAGUAAUGUGAAUUGCAGAAUUCAGUGAAUCAUCGAAUCUUUGAACGCACAUUGCGCCCGCCAGCAUUCUGGCGGGCAUGCCUGUUCGAGCGUCAUUUCAACCCUCGCAGCCCAUCUGGGCAGCGGUGUUGGGGACCGGCCCCACCGGCGAAGCCCUUAGGGGCCCAGCCGGCGCCGCCCCCGAAAUACAGUGGCGGUCUCGCUGCAGCCUCCCUUGCGUAGUAGCACACCUCGCACCGGAGCGCAGCGCGGCCACGCCGUAAAACCCCCGACUUUCUGAGUUUGACCUCGAAUCAGGUAGGAAUACCCGCUGAACUUAAGCAUAUCAAUAAGCGGAGGA